CGAGUAUUUAUAUGAGUCUCUUAUCUACCAUUUAGUUAGACGGGACCAUAGACACAAUUUUUCAAUCUUUUUUUACAUCAUGUACUUAACUAUUGAAAAAGAUUAUAAGGUAUUAUUAUUAUUAUAAAUUUAUAUACAUAUAUGCACUUGGUAUUUAUCUAUUUUAUUACAUCUUCUUUUGAAGUCUUAGUUGAUAAAAUUAAACCGUCUGCUUGGUUUUGAUUGUUAAAAGUUUGUUUUAUUAAUUUAUUUUUACGACAUUCAUAAAAAAAUAUUUUUAUAAAUAGAAAGGUAUAUACAAGCGUUUGUAGGUAUUUACACAUGCAUACAAGCUUGUAUAUAUAUAUAUGUAGAAUAAAAAAAUAUAUUUUUUUUAUUUUGGGCUAAUUAUUUUUUUUUUUUUUUCUUCAUUACAGAUUAUUUCCUUAAUAACAUUUAUCCCGCAAAUUGUUUUAGUAACGUUAUUUGGUUUUAAAUAUGCAAAACAUAAUUUAGAAUUAUCUAUGUUUUUACAAGUAAAAUAAUAUAAGAAUACAUUUUUUGCAUUUUUUUAUAUUAUUCUAAUAAUAAAUUUAUAAAUAUUUGAAUAAUAUUUUUAUUUGGUUUUUAUUUUUUUCUUUUUAUUUAAGACUAUGGCGUUUAUUACCAUGAACAAAGUAUGCACGUCUCAGUACUUUAUUUGGUGCAUCCCAUUUUUACCCAUUGUCCUUGUGACUAUAACCUUGAACAAGGAAAACUUAAUUCUUAUUUCCUGCGCAAUUCUCUUUUUUACUUUGUCAAAGUCUCAUUGGCUUUUUUGGGCAUAUUAUCUUGAAUUUAAAGGAUAUAACACCUUUUUACAAGUAUAGCUUUAAUCACUUAUUAUUUUUAUAAAAAUAACAUUGUUGCAUUGAUGAAAAAUCGUUAGCUAUUUUCAUGAUAGUUAACAUAUAAGUUUACACAAUAUCAUACGAUAAUAAUAUUUUAUUUAUGUAUUAAUUUUUUAUUUUUUUUAUAUAUAUAUAUAUUUGUAGAUUUUUAUUGCUUCAAUUUUGUUCUUUAUAUCGGAGAUGACAAUAUGUUGGGUUUUUAUGUAUAUGCAAUUUAAAGAAGAGAAGAAAAAAAAAGUGUGUUAAGAGGGCUAAUAAUAUUUUGUUUUGCAUUUCAUUUGUUCUUUUUUUUUUUGAUUUAUUUUUUUUUGUUUAUAUUUUUGAUUAUUCUUAUCAUAUAUAAAAAAAUUAAUUAUUUGCUAAACCCACUAAAUAGAAAUGUCUUUUUUUUUUUUUUUUCCUUUUUUUUUUUUUAAACAUUAUAUCCUAUUUAUUUUUUAUUAAUUUUUUUAUAACAUAGUAAAAGCAAUAAUUAAAUACAUAUAAUAUAAGAAUCAUGUUGUAUAUUUUUUUGAAUAAAAAAAAAUAUAUUUAUUUAUACA
rnacentral:lncRNA from 1 species